AGAUCUGAGGCAGGGCAGAGGGUAGAGGUCAGGGGUCAGGCACUGCCCUGGGCCACACCUCGGCCUGCCCGGGAGAGGGCCAGCCAGGUAGCUGUGGCUCAGAGAGGGGCAGGGGCUCCUCUACAGCCAGACAUGCCUGCUCCCUCCUCCAGCAGCACCUCAGCCGUCCCCCGGAUCUCGCCGCUCUUUCUUCCUGCCCACCCGCACGGCCGUCUGUCCCGAGAGUCGCCUCAGCCUGGUGACCCCCAAGCUGCCGGUCCUUGUCCCUGAGCCGCUACACUGACUGCAGCCUGGUGAUGAGGGGGCCUGGGGCCUGUAGUGUAACAGAUUCCCUGUCUGCUCUGCACGUGCCAGCACAAGAGAGCUAUAAAUAGGGUGAGCGGGAGAGAAAGACCGGAUUAGGACAGCUUGAAGGGAGGGCAGGGUAGAAAAACGCUCGUGUGUGGCGCUGAACACACACCAAACUCCAGAGUGUCUCGGUAGGUGCUUUUGGGAAGCCUCCUCAGACACCAGCCAUGCCAGUACCCCACCAGAUAGGAGAGGUGCCCCUGGUCCUGCCCAGCACCCGUCCCAUUUAAAGGGGCCCACGCUUCCCUCCUCUGAGCCCCUCUGGGAGAAUCACUGGCUCCUGCUUUCUUGUGUCUCUAAGGCCCAGUCCCAGGCAUCCUUUGUGGAGAACGAGCCACAAACUUCAGGAGAGGCCAUGUUACCCCGGCAGCAGCCGUGUAGGGGGUCUGGGCUGACGCUGGAGCCAGAGCAGUGAGGCCCUGCCCAACCCUCUCCCUACCCCAGGGAGCAGGAGCCACCAGUGGAGACAUGCCAUCUCCUCCCUCUUCUGCAGCCCACCUGGCACUCAGGAAGCGGCCCAGAGGCUGAGCCCACACCCUGAAGGGAGCCCCUGCCCUGAGAAAAAUUCUUAAGUCCUCUGCGAAUGUCUGGAAAGAACCACAGGAAGAAGGCAGAGGUGUGGCCUGGAUCAUUCUGAGCUGCCUGGCCCCAGAUGCCCCGAUGCAGGCUUGGAGGUCCUUGAGACGCCCGGAGAGGGAGCGGAGGCAGCGUGUGAGUUGGGAAGGAGGGUGUGGGGUGGAGACCACAGCCCACAUCGGGGAACGAAAGCCCUGGAGCCACCGGCACAUCCAGGACAGUUCAGCCUCCUGCCCUUGGGCCGAGCGAGACCCUUGACCCAAGCGAGACCCUUGACCUGUGUCCCCCAGGAUGACAGGAUGGUGAGCGCCUCCGGGCUCUCUCUGAUCAGCCCUGGUGGUUCCUUAUCCGGAGCCUGAGCCGGGCAGUGCUGUGACACCUUGACUUAGGACAGGAUGCCUUGUGAGACAGACAUGUCUAACUAUUGGAAAGAGGGGACAGGGCCAGGGAAGAGGGCGUGGAGGCUAAUAACCCCUGAUGUCUGGCAACGCUGUCAUCCAGAAACCUGACUCAGACAGCGUGGCAUGAACUGCUGGGUCCCGUAACAUGGUCCCAGAAUCCAAUCCACUCAUUCUGCGAAGGGGCAGUGACCCCCUCAGACAGUGGGGUGGGGUAUGAAUGAGUGGAAAACACACUGUCUUUGGUGGAUCCGGAGGGCAUGUGGACCCUAGAGUCCAGACACUUCCGUGGGCAAAGAUCUCCAGAGUGGGUGGCUAAGGAAGCCACUUGGGACUUACUGCCACGGUUGCCACUUCCAUGUAGCUAACCCAGGGCAGUCUGUAGUUUACACCUGACCCGGAGAUCUGAGUUCAUCCUGUCUCCUCUCUGUGAGCCUCCUGGGGCCUUGGGGUGGGGUAGCAUGGGUGUGUGCCCGAGUGCAUGCGGGAUUAAACCCAGGGCCCGAGCCCAUGGACACGGA